rnacentral:misc_RNA from 1 species
GAUGAAGAACGUAGCGAAAUGCGAAAAGUAGUGUGAAUUGCAGAAUUCAGUGAAUCAUCGAGUCUUUGAACGCACAUUGCGCCCCCUGGUAUUCCGGGGGGCAUGCCUGUCCGAGCGUCAUUGCUGCCCUCAAGCACGGCUUGUGUGUUGGGCCGUCGUCCCCCUCCUAGGGGACGGGCCCGAAAGGCAGCGGCGGCACCGCGUCCGGUCCUCGAGCGUAUGGGGCUUCGUCACCCGCUCCGUAGGCCCGGCCGGCGCUUGCCGACGACCAUCAAUCUCUUUCUCCAGGUUGACCUCGGAUCAGGUAGGGAUACCCGCUGAACUUAAGCAUAUCAAUAAGCGGAGGA